rnacentral:rRNA from 1 species
AGUCGAGCGGAUGAGAGGAGCUUGCUCCUUGAUUUAGCGGCGGACGGGUGAGUAAUGCCUAGGAAUCUGCCUGGUAGUGGGGGAUAACGUCCGGAAACGGGCGCUAAUACCGCAUACGUCCUACGGGAGAAAGCAGGGGACCUUCGGGCCUUGCGCUAUCAGAUGAGCCUAGGUCGGAUUAGCUAGUUGGUGAGGUAAUGGCUCACCAAGGCGACGAUCCGUAACUGGUCUGAGAGGAUGAUCAGUCACACUGGAACUGAGACACGGUCCAGACCCCUACGGGAGGCAGCAGUGGGGAAUAUUGGACAAUGGGCGAAAGCCUGAUCCAGCCAUGCCGCGUGUGUGAAGAAGGUCUUCGGAUUGUAAAGCACUUUAAGUUGGGAGGAAGGGCAUUAACCUAAUACGUUAGUGUUUUGACGUUACCGACAGAAUAAGCACCGGCUAACUUCGUGCCAGCAGCCGCGGUAAUACGAAGGGUGCAAGCGUUAAUCGGAAUUACUGGGCGUAAAGCGCGCGUAGGUGGUUCGUUAAGUUGGAUGUGAAAGCCCCGGGCUCAACCUGGGAACUGCAUCCAAAACUGGCGAGCUAGAGUACGGUAGAGGGUGGUGGAAUUUCCUGUGUAGCGGUGAAAUGCGUAGAUAUAGGAAGGAACACCAGUGGCGAAAGCGACCACCUGGACUGAUACUGACACUGAGUGCGAAAGCGUGGGGAGCAAACAGGAUUAGAUACCCUGGUAGUCCACGCCGUAAACGAUGUCAACUAGCCGUUGGGUUUCCUUGAGACUUAGUGCGCAGCUAACGCAUUAGUUGACCGCCUGGGGGAGUACGGCCGCAGGUUAAAACUCAAAAUGAAUUGACGGGGGCCCGCC